GUCAGUGUGGUGUAGUGGUUUGAGUGCUGCAACUAUCACUCUGGAAACCAGGGUUCAAAUCCCUGCUCGACC